AGUCAGUCAGUGAGUCACUUCAGGGGCAAAGAUGGAAAAUCCUUGGCAUAGUCUUGUACUCAAGAUCACAUCCGACUGAUCAGCUGGGACUCGGGAGGCAGCAAUAGAUUGGGGGUGGGGCCAAAUAAAAGUGGAAAGAAGAAGCUCAAGAGUUACAAGGUUGAUACUGUAUGGAACAAAACUGUGGCUGAACCUAGAGGUAUUCUGCUCCCUCCCAGAAGGUAACAAGGAAAAUAGAUCGUGAAAAGGAUGUGUAGCUCCCAGACAAUCCCGUGGACCCUGCUCAAGCAACGCUUGUAUGCUAUAACGUGGAUAGAAGGGAAUGAACUGCCAAUAAUCUUUUCUGCCAUCCUCACCACUCUCUGCACCGCCUUCCUGUCUGAAGCGGUAAUGCUUCAAAACUGGACUGUGAUGUAAUAUGACAGGAUGCUCUCGAUCAUCCCUUUAUAGAAAGUGAUAAGGACAGAGGGAGGAUGAUGAAGUUUUCUCAUGUGAUGCACAAAAUGCAGGCACUGUUGUGCCCGCUUCACCAGUGUCUCGCUGUUGAGCCACCAAACAAGCCUACUCGUUAGCUGCACAUCCAGAAAUUUAAUGCUGUCAACAUGG